GGCAACUUGGUAUAGUGGUUUGAGUGUUGGACUAUGAAUCUGGAGACCAGGGUUCAAAUCCCAUCGGCCA
rnacentral:tRNA from 1 species